GACACAUUGGAGCAAAAUGCUUGUUAAGAUUCUUUUCUCCUCUAGACCCUGCAACCAGCAAACAAUCCCUCCUUAUAGGUCUCUCUCAAGAAAAGACUGACCUUAGGAUACAGCAUUUCCUGAUCGGCUGUAUAAUGAUUUCACCUUUGCUCAUCCUAUUCCCCGACACCAGGUUCUCUCAGGCCUUGGUUAUUCCCUUUCACAAAAGAAAAGCCCUUCUUUACCCAACAUUUAAGAGGCUUGCAGAGUCUCCCUGUUUCAACAGUCAUCUGCUCUGUCUCCCUCCCACUAUUGCAAUAAUCCGUUCCUUCCCUCUUGCGAUAAAAUCUCUCUUUACAUAAAUUGAAUUGUUUUUCAUUUGACGAGAGAAAAGUGAAAACUAAAAAGGGAAGUCACGUGGGAACACAAAGCAAUUACUGAAGAUAUUAAGCUUCCUCAUUUUCUCUUGGCACCACCAUGUAAGAAGUUUCUUUCACCUGCUGCCGUGAUGCUGAGGCCUCCCCAGCCACGAGGAACUACUCUUUUUGCCAUUGCAAACUGAAGACAAGAAUCACUUCCUGAUCACUGGGUUGUUGUAAGGUAAUGCUGUGCAAAGUAAAUCUUGCAGUUUGCAAAGCCACUUUCAAGUUCACAGAGCCCUUGAUAAACCCAAAUUUAACAAAAGCGAAAAACAGAACAGGACAUGAUAACAAGAUAAAAGUGCAUGGGGCCCAAAGAUUCAUCCAUUGAGAUGCAAGGAGAUGGACAGAUUUUUUCUGGAGGAAGAUAUUUGUGUGUGUGUGUUGGGGAGGAACGGCAUUAAAAAUAUUUACCAGUGUCUAUUAGACUUUGAAGCUGUCUACAUUAAAAUCAUGCAAGAU
rnacentral:lncRNA from 10 species